rnacentral:rRNA from 1 species
GACGAACGCUGGCGGCGUGCUUAACACAUGCAAGUCGAACGAAGUGGCGAACGGGUGAGUAACGCGUAAUCAACCUGCCCUUCAGAGGGGGACAACAGUUGGAAACGACUGCUAAUACCGCAUACUGAAGGAGGGGAUUGCGUCUGAUUAGCUAGUUGGCGGGGUAACGGCCCACCAAGGCGAUGAUCAGUAGCCGGUCGUAGAGAGUGACCAUCCCCCUUGGGACUUAGACACGGCCCAGACUCCUCCUCUCGUCCUCCUUAUCGCCUCUUCCCCACUCUACUAAAGUCUGACUCCCCAACGCCGCGUGAGUGAUGACUCCCUUCUAGUUUUCCAUCUCUGUUAAUCGGGACGCGGUACCGGAAUAGAAAGCCACGGCUAACUACGUGCCAGCAGCCGCGGUAAUAC